UUCCUUUCGCAUGAUUCAAGACUUAGUUUUUCUACCAUUUUAUCUACAUUCAUUCUGUGCAUUUUUUUGUGACUCAUGUUGCUGCCAGAUCAUAGUGGAAGAAAAUUGGAGAAAACUAAAGCUUUCGUUUAACUGUGGGCGUUCAAAUAAGAAGGAAACUUUCUAAAAACCAUUCCGCGUCAUAUUGUGAGUUUGUCGUCCUCAUAAAUCUUUAAUUUCAUUUUGGUUGUCUGUGUUUUGUUUCAAAUACGUGGGUUAGGUUUAGAUACUAUUUGAUACAGUGAUUAGCCAUGUUGGUGCUCUUUGCUUCUUGAGUUCACUCGAGAGAAUAAAACUAGAUAGCCAAAGAACAAUGAAGCCUGUGAAAUGAUCGUGUAACUAGGUAUGUGUUUUCUUAGUCGUGCAUAGAUGACAACAGAAUUGGUUUAAGCUGACAUGUGAAUGAUGUAUUAUAAGAUUUCUUUUGUUUAAGAUGUAUUAUGGCAUCGCAAUCCAAUGGAUACUUGUGAGUGCAGGGACGAACAAUUCAGCUGAUCAUUUCUUGAUACAUGAGAGUUAUACAGAUCCCUAUAUUUGGUCAUGCCUUUCUUUUUCUUGAAUGGACACUGGUAGUUUUUCCUAUUAUCAUUUCUUGAAUGGACCCUUGAUUUUCUUUACAUUUUUUUUGGGACCGUUGAUUUUCCUAUUAUCAUUUCUUAAAUUGCAGCAGACUGAAAUUUUCCUUUAGAUAUGCAGGACUUAAAUAAGAAGAAAAGCUUUCCAAAUUCUACUCAAUGUCUUGGGAAGUAUAUUUUCCUUAAUGGUUCAAUGCAAUCCCUUCUGGAAAGUAAAAGAGAAAGAAAGAUUUCGAAAGGUUCAUUGAAUUUUGCAUAUUUUUUCUGUGGAUCACAUACAGCUAACAAUUUGGUAGAAGCUAACACGUGAAUAAUAUGUUAUUUGGAUUUAGGAUGCACCAAUGGUAGGCUGUUGAAAACUUCUGGGUACAUGACUAAAAUAGGUUGCUGAAUAUUGUUCGUAUUAUGAGAAAUUAAUGUGAAUAGAUCAACAACGCAAACUGGAGUUGGUUGAUCUGGAUAUGACAUGGCUUCCACUUGGUUGAACUAACUCCGGUGAUCUUUCUAUGAUCUUUUUCUUGCAACUUCCUUUUGGACUCCUGCUGCAGCCAAAUUUUUGGGGGAAAAAGAUGCUUAUAAUUGAUGAAACUGAACCUCUUCUAGAGCGGCACGAGUGCAAAUGAGAAGGAUCCCUCUUUUAAGUAGAAUUAUAUCCCCUUGCAUCAACUGACCCCGAUAAUUUUUCUAGCAUUUGUUAAGCGAUUUAUUUUCUUUUAAAUUUGUCCUGCCGCUCCGAGUGCAGCCAAAUCAAUAUGAAUAAUGUUGCCAAAUGAUUGAGGCGGCAGA
rnacentral:lncRNA from 1 species